rnacentral:tRNA from 1 species
GCGCCCAUAGCUCAACUGGAUAGAGCAUCUGACUACGGAUCAGAAGGUUGGGGGUUCGAAUCCUCCUGGGCGCG